CCUACGGGAGGCAGCAGUGAGGAAUAUUGGUCAAUGGACGCAAGUCUGAACCAGCCAUGCCGCGUGCAGGAAGACGGCUCUAUGAGUUGUAAACUGCUUUUGUACGAGGGUAAACGCAGAUACGCGUAUCUGUCUGCAAGUAUCGUAUGAAUAAGGAUCGGCUAAUUCCGUGCCAGCAGCCGCGGUAAUACGGAGGAUUCAAGCGUUAUCCGGAUUUAUUGGGUUUAAAGGGUGCGUAGGCGGGCGGAUAAGUUAGAGGUGAAAUCCCGAGGCUCAACUUCGGAAUUGCCUCUGAUACUGUUCGGCUAGAGAGUAGUUGCGGUAGGCGGAAUGUAUGGUGUAGCGGUGAAAUGCUUAGAGAUCAUACAGAACACCGAUUGCGAAGGCAGCUUACCAAGCUACUUCUGACGUUGAGGCACGAAAGCGUGGGGAGCAAACAGGAUUAGAUACCCGAGUAGUC
rnacentral:rRNA from 1 species